GAGGAAAUAGGCAAUCAAACUUUGCACCGAAUAGGCAGCAAGGAUAUCAACAGCAGUACCAAUCUCGCCCGCCACCACCUCCUCUAAACUCAGGCCCAUCUUUAGAAGAAAUGAUGAAACAAUUAAUUGUUAGUCAACAAAAGACGGAAUCUAACUUACAAAAUAUAAGGAAUCAAAUGGGUUAGAUGCAAGUAAUGCAGAGUCAGAUGAGUCAUAUGGCAAUAGCAAUCAACCGCUUGGAAUCCCAAGUUCAUGAAAAGUUGUUGUCUCAACCUGAACUGAACCCAAAGAACGUAAGUGCAAUAACCUUAAGGAGCGAGAAGAAAAUUCAGGGACCCGAACUCGCGACUCCAAAGGACAAGGAUGAAAAAAAAUUGAGAAAACACUUGAGGAGGAGGAGGAUAAGGGCAGCAAAAAGUCAGUAGUUCUCCUUGACCCAAUCAUUGAGAUUAGAACUAACUUAUCGCCUUUUUCGAGCAGGUUAGAGAAACCAAAGAAGCAAGUUAAGGAAAAGGAGAUUCUAAAGGUGUUUCGAAAGG
rnacentral:lncRNA from 1 species